rnacentral:misc_RNA from 1 species
UUCACAAUGUAAGUCAUUCUAGCAUUUCCCACAUUCAUAUUAUAUAUGUCUAGAUUCAUUAAUAUAAAUAUGAAUGUGGGAAAUGCUAGAAUGACUUACAUUGUGAAACG